rnacentral:rRNA from 1 species
UACGAAGGGGGCUAGAGAUGUUCGGCUUUACUGGGCGUAAAGCGCAUGUCGGCGGGUCGUUAAGUUGGGGGUGAAAUCCCGAGGCUCAACCUCGGAACUGCCUUCAAAACUGGCGACCUGGAGCAAGAUAGAGGCAAGUGGAAUUGCGAGUGUAGAGGUGAAAUUCGUAGAUAUUCGCAGGAACACCAGUGGCGAAGGCGACUUGCUGGAUCUUUGCUGACGCUGAGAUGCGAAAGCGUGGGGAGCAAACAGG